CACUCCUGCGGGAGGCAGCAGUGGGGAAUAUUGGACAAUGGGCGAAAGCCUGAUCCAGCAAUGCCGCGUGAGUGAUGAAGGCCUUAGGGUUGUAAAGCUCUUUUACCCGGGAUGAUAAUGACAGUACCGGGAGAAUAAGCCCCGGCUAACUCCGUGCCAGCAGCCGCGGUAAUACGGAGGGGGCUAGCGUUGUUCGGAAUUACUGGGCGUAAAGCGCGCGUAGGCGGCUUUGUAAGUUAGAGGUGAAAGCCCGGAGCUCAACUUCGGAAUUGCCUUUAAGACUGCAUCGCUAGAAUCGUGGAGAGGUGAGUGGAAUUCCGAGUGUAGAGGUGAAAUUCGUAGAUAUUCGGAAGAACACCAGUGGCGAAGGCGACUCACUGGACACGUAUUGACGCUGAGGUGCGAAAGCGUGGGGAGCAAACAGGAUUAGAAACCCUGGUAGUCCCAUG
rnacentral:rRNA from 1 species